GUUAUUUUAGGCCAUGGCAUUAGAAAGAAUUUGAUCACGGUACCGGGACGGUUACCUUUCAAGUGGGGGGAAUAUGUGACGGGUGGGAGUGGGAUAAGUGAGUCACCUGUUUCCUAGCGAGUCACUUGACACUCCCUUCAUGUGACCGGAAGAAACGCAGGUAAAUGGCACACCGCAAGUUCAUUCUUUUGUUUGAAUUAAGAGCGCGGCAAGCGCAGUGGUGAGAGCACUGUUGGAAUGGGGAUUCUGCCGGUGGUGAUUUUACGUGAAGCGGUGCACUCCGUCCAACAGUAUGACAGUAAGUAUGACAUCAGUACGCAGCACUCAUCUCUGUGUACCAAACACAGGCUAGUGUUUUGUUUUCUAACAUUCAAACAUUCUGAUGCUCAAAUGAAUUGUAAUUUCAUUGUGUAUGAAAAGCACGUAACCGUUUUCUCCGUUAUCAGAAGAAGUUUAUGGGUAGUCUAACCUAUGGUGGUGACUGUCAAUGCCCCUUGCCAGUGUGACCACUGUGUAUUCACACACUUUGCCCAUGAUGGGUGAGGGGUGAAGCAUUCCACCACUAAAGAUUCCCACCACACCGCUGGGUAUAUGGAAAUACAUAUAACUACCAAUGUACACUGGCUCCCUAUAUCACAACGGAUUCACUUUGAAAUCGUGUUAAUGACACUUAAAGCUCUUCACAAACUUUCCGCUGCCUACCUCGCAUACCUCCUUCAAAACCUGGAAAGUUAAGACAAUAUAGCAUGCUACUGCACAGCCAUCUCAGGUGCCAACACUAAAAGACAGUCUGUGCUGCUGCUGCUGCUGCUCUGCUCUACCGUCUGUUUGGGGCACAGAGGACGAGUGAAGGAGGAGACGACCAGGAGACCAGCGUCCUCCAGCAAGCAGGUGGUGCCGGCGGGAGAGAAGUGAGUGAGGAAAAGCCUUGAUAGCUCUGUCUACAAUGUGGGCUUAAAGCCCAGGAACUCAAGACCAGCAACUUUGCACUGGGCUACAAGAACCAGAGCAAGAGGUCCUGAUGCAUUUACUAUGGGCCAUGUGACCAACCAGGUCUUGGACCUCUGGUCCUGACCAUUCAGCUGGAAUUCAGUGUAAAUGCUCUUGGUUAAGCCCUGUUUAAGCCUAGCCCAUUACAGUGUAAGUUCGAGCUCCAGGUUUGGCCAACAGUAGCUACUGUGUCGCUGACUGGGUGGUGAUGAAGCUGUGUCAGCCGAGGCAGAUUGAGGGUCUUUCCUCGUGAGCCAGCUAGAGGAGCAGAGUCCAGAUAAUGCACAAUAUAACAGUUAUCUAUAGUUUUCCAGAACACUCUGGGUCAACAUCAUUUCACUGUGUUAAUUCACACAACCCAUAUUCCUACAGAAGGCCCCUAACAUAUCACAGCUGCAGACAAACAAGCCUUCCCUCUGCCCAGAGAGGACAAAGAAAGUGAACUGGCUAGUGAGCUGAGAGAGACUCUGUCUUCCCUCAUCAUACUACUAGACAAGGUGGUGAGCUGAGAGAGACUCUGUCUUCCCUCAUCAUACUACUGGACAAGCUGAGGAGUCAAGGUAGGGCCCACUCUGACAGUAAGUCUGCAGAGAGCACCAGUAUGAAGCUUCAUAACUAGUAUCAGUUUGUAAAAAAAAUGUACAAAGAACAAUCCUAAUAAAUACUCUUAUUCACACGU
ensembl:lncRNA